GUCGUGAGCAUCUGAACAGUUAACCUUCCAUGUGGUGUACUUUUUUCAUUGUUACUCAGGUAUCAUAACUAUCAAACGCUCGGGAACGCUAAUUAGUAAUCAUGUCAGCGCUUUUCAAUUAACCUCGAGACUUCCUCAACUGUCACGCAAAUGCAGAAGACGCGGUUGAAAUUCUCAUCAUCGUCAAAUCCUGAAUCUUUGUCCUGAAUCCUAUGUCCUUUCGCCUCACAACGUCGCGAAUCCGCAUUUAAGAACCAAUGAUACGUUAUAAGGAUAAUGAUGACGUUAAUAACGUCGCGGAAACGGCGGCGGCUGUGCCUCUUCAUCGCGAUUACAAAAACUCGCGAUAUAAAAAAAAGAAGAAAAGAUCCCGGCGUCCUAUUUUACAGAGGCAAUACGGUUCAUUAGUCACCACUGCAAGCGAGAUUCUGCUAUGUGAAGCGACAUGGUUCGCGGGACGUUUGAUGCAAAUGAUGAUAAUGUCUCCUGGUAUAUUGUGGCGAGUGUAAAUAACCACACGCUGUCGUCGUCAUAGUAGUCGUCUUCGUUAAAGAACAGACUGCAAUUUUACGAUCACCCAUAAUGACGUGUCCAGUUCAAUCGCGCCGUCCUAUGCCUUUCACGUAAAGCUAGUGCAUUUGUACGAAAUAGAAACCACUGAUUUCCUCGUCGUAUUAUUGUCAUCGCGCGCGCGUGAGCAGCAAGGGAAGAUGAGCCACGUCUGUGAAAGCGCUCGUCUUCUUCGUGUUCCUUCGGUUCAGAGAUUAUUGUGCUAGUAGGACGACUUUAAAGCCUGAUAUACAAUGUGCUCUUUACUUCCUGUUUCUUGUUCUCCAUCUUUUUCUGACUAAGAGCUUAAAGUUUAAAUCACAGGAAGAAAUAAAGAAAGAGAAAACAAUGAGCACAUUAUAGAUCUGGGCUAAUGCCUUGGCGAAACUGAUCGACGUAGGAUUUGUCACCGGUAUUAUCCCCGGUCGUAAAGCAUACGCUUGCAUGUGCAUGUUAUGUGCGCAUAAAUGUGCAAUUUAUCAUAUCGUUUAUAGCGAUGUCUUGUCAGACAAAUUAGCACGACACAAUUUUGUUCGACUAUUAAACUGAAGCUAAUGAUAUGUCGCUGGUUACAGUCCCGUGAAGAUAAUAAAACGCACAAAACCCUGGCUAUUCUAUUGACCAUGUAAACUUUCUCAAAAACGACAUUAACGAGCGCCUCGAAUGAAAAAUGGCCGAAAUCGAUUAAAACUGAUGGAACCACCGACGAAGAAAUCGCCGACCAGCGUCUUCCACUUCGCCUCUUGUAACUUCCCAUUGUGGAUUUAAGCGUGACACUGCGAUGCACAGCUUCGAAAGCUCGAUAAUCGCCGUAAAACUCGACAUGUAGCACCGGUGGAUAACCCACCGUCAAUGUCAAUUUCACUUUUCUUCAU